rnacentral:rRNA from 1 species
CCUACGGGCGGCAGCAGUGAGGAAUAUUGGUCAAUGGACGAGAGUCUGAACCAGCCAAGUAGCGUGAAGGAUUACUGCCCUAUGGGUUGUAAACUUCUUUUAUAUGGGAAUAAAAUGUUCCACGUGUGGGAUUUUGUAUGUACCAUAUGAAUAAGGAUCGGCUAACUCCGUGCCAGCAGCCGCGGUAAUAAGGAGGAUCCGAGCGUUAUCCGGAUUUAUUGGGUUUAAAGGGAGCGUAGGUGGAUUGUUAAGUCAGUUGGGAAAGUUUUCGGAUCAAACGUAAAAUUGCAGUUGAAACUGGGAGUCUUGAGUACAGGAGAGGUGGGCGGAAUGCGUGGUGUAGCGGUGAAAUGCUUAGAUAUCACGAAGAACUCCGAUUGCGAAGGCAGUUCACUGGACUGCAACUGACACUGAGGCACGAAAGUGUGGGGAUCAAACAGGAUUAGAUACCCCUGUAGUC